ACGAACUCAGGAAGCCACUGUCAGCAACAACAAAGGAGGGAAGGGCAAGUCUUGGGAUCAUGGAGCCCAAGAGGAGGAAAAGGCGAACCAAUGUCGUUUUGGGUGGAACCUGUCAAGGUGCCUCUGCCCCUGACCAUGUCGUUUUGGGUGAAUCAGACCCUCUUGCUCCUACCGAUUGGCGGUGAAGACAUUCCCCUACUCUACCUCUAGCAGACUCGGAACCCGAAGCUCACAUAGAUAGGAGACAAUGGACCGACACUGGAGAGCUGAGUGUGGCGUCCGGAACCGAAAGAUCAGGCCUCCCCAAGUCGUGAGGAGCCUAACCCACAAGCAAGCGGAGAGGGGACUGUCACUGACAGCCCUGCAACCGUGCCUGCCCCUGCUGUGCCUACCAUCAGAGCAGAGCCACUCCAAGGUACUCGAGAAGAAUCAUCGCAGGCAUUGUGCGAUUAUGAUCAACCAGGAUUUUACCUGAUCUCGACUGCUUUGCAUGCGACAACCAUCACCGCAAGAUGCACUGUCGGCCCCGCUGGCGAGAGGAGAAGUGCUGGGUGAAGACUACCGCACCCCGCCUGUCUCUUCUGAAGUAAUGGGCGCACAGACGGCCAAUGGACCAUCCAGCUCCGGCGCCCUACACCAUCAGCCCUUCCCAAACUAGGGAGAACUGAUUGAAAGAGUCCACUUGACUCCCUCGGUGGUGCCCAGCAUGUCACGAUAGCUGAAAUCGUUCAGGCAUCUCUGCUAAACCUCCGAUCCUUGUACCACCACUUGGUGCACUUGGAAACGAAUACAGCAAUGACCAUCGGAGCUAAACAGCUCCGCCAAGAUUUGGAAGCAGAAAAGAACAAGAGCGCACGACUGGAACAGGAGCUUGCAGCUGCCAAGGCCUAGUUGUAGAGUGCAACUAGCCUCCUGGAUGAGAAGGAAUCAUCCUGCUUGGCUGAAGUUGCUGCCUUGAAGAGAGAUCAUUCAGGUAAGACUCUCCUUUGUGACAGACUUGAUGAGCUAAUUUAUGCUCGAACAGCUUUCGCAGCAGAGAAGGAGCGACUCUUGAACGAGGCG